CUGUGAGAGACAAAAACACCAAGACGAACAAACACACAGAAUACCACAUUAAAUAUACACAGUCGUGCUCAAAGGUUUGCGUAUCUUCGGAGAAUUUGCACGAUUGUACGAUUUUUUUCAAGAAAACAUGUUCAAAGGUUCCAUUGGAGUUUCAACCUGGUCUUGUGCUUCAGAUCAUUGUCAUGUUGGGACAUCCGAGAUCGUCCUACGUGCAGCAUUCGUUCUGUAGAAUGCAAAUUAGCAUUCAGCUUGCCAUCACUUCCCUGUGCCACUGGAGCUCACACAGCCCCAAGACAUCAGAGAUCCACCACCAUGCACCAUGCGUGAUGGUGAACUGCUGUGUUAACUCCUUUCACUUUUGGUCUCAUCACUCCAUAUGAAUCUGCUCCUCUGAUCAUGUGCUGAGAAACUCUCUGACUAUUUAUGUGCAGACACUAAUUCUAAUACAUCGAGUCACUGGUGUAGAAACUUCCC